rnacentral:rRNA from 1 species
GACGAACGCUGGCGGCGUGCUUAGCACAUGCAAGUCGAACGGUAAGGCCCUUCGGGGUACACGAGUGGCGAACGGGUGAGUAACACGUGGGUGAUCUGCCCUGCACUUCGGGAUAAGCCUGGGAAACUGGGUCUAAUACCGGAUAGGACCACUGCCUGCAUGGGUGGUGGUGGAAAGCUUUUUCGGUGUGGGAUGGGCCCGCGGCCUAUCGGCUUGUUGGUGGGGUGAUGGCCUACCAAGGCGACGACGGGUAGCCGGCCUGAGAGGGUGACCGGCCACACUGGGACUGAGAUACGGCCCAGACUCCUACGGGAGGCAGCAGUGGGGAAUAUUGCACAAUGGGCGCAAGCCUGAUGCAGCGACGCCGCGUGAGGGAUGACGGCCUUCGGGUUGUAAACCUCUUUCAGCACCGACGAAGCGCAAGUGACGGUAGGUGCAGAAGAAGGACCGGCCAACUACGUGCCAGCCGCCGCCGUAA